AGCAGCCGCGGUAAUUCCAGCUCCAAUAGCGUAUAUUAAAGUUGUUGCAGUUAAAAAGCUCGUAGUUGAAUUUCGGGAUUGACACAUCGGUCGUGCCUUAAGGGGUAUGAACUGGUGUAGUCAAUUUCUCACCUUCUGGAGAACCACGAUGCCCUUAAUUGGGUGUCGCGGGGAACCAGGACCUUUACUUUGAAAAAAUUAGAGUGUUUAAAGCAGGCAUUUUGCUUGAAUACAUUAGCAUGGAAUAAUAAAAUAGGACGGCAUGAUUCUAUUUUCUAUUUUGUUGGUUUCUAGGAUCACCGUAAUGAUUAAUAGGGAUAGUUGGGGGCAUUAGUAUUCAAUUGUCAGAGGUGAAAUUCUUGGAUUUAUUGAAGACUAACUACUGCGAAAGCAUUUGCCAAGGAUGUUUUCAUUAAUCAAGAACGAAAGUUAGGGGAUCGAAGACGAUCAGAUACCGUCGUAGUCUUAACCAUAAACUAUGCCGACUAGGAAUCAGACGAUGUUAAUUUUUUAAUGACUCGUUUGGCACCUUACG
rnacentral:rRNA from 1 species